rnacentral:rRNA from 1 species
AUUGAACGCUGGCGGCAAGCCUAACACAUGCAAGUCGAGCGGAUGAAGGGAGCUUGCUCCUGGAUUCAGCGGCGGACGGGUGAGUAAUGCCUAGGAAUCUGCCUGGUAGUGGGGAUAACGUCCGGAAACGGGCGCUAAUACCGCAUACGUCCGGAGGGAGAAAGUGGGGGAUCUUCGGACCUCACGCUAUCAGAUGAGCCUAGGUCGGAUUAGCUAGUUGGUGGGGUAAAGGCCUACCAAGGCGACGAUCCGUAACUGGUCUGAGAGGAUGAUCAGUCACACUGGAACUGAGACACGGUCCAGACUCCUACGGGAGGCAGCAGUGGGGAAUAUUGGACAAUGGGCGAAAGCCUGAUCCAGCCAUGCCGCGUGUGUGAAGAAGGUCUUCGGAUUGUAAAGCACUUUAAGUUGGGAGGAAGGGCAGUAAGUUAAUACCUUGCUGUUUUGACGUUACCAACAGAAUAAGCACCGGCUAACUUCGUG